rnacentral:rRNA from 1 species
UACGUAGGGCGCAAGCGUUGUCCGGAAUUAUUGGGCGUAAAGAGCUCGUAGGCGGCUUGUUGCGGCCGCUGUGAAAUUCCGGGGCUUAACCCCGGGCGGGCAGUGGAUACGGGCAGGCUAGAGGCAGGCAGGGGAGAACGGAAUUCCUGGUGUAGCGGUGAAAUGCGCAGAUAUCAGGAGGAACACCGGUGGCGAAGGCGGUUCUCUGGGCCUGAUCUGACGCUGAGGAGCGAAAGCGUGGGGAGCGAACAGG